rnacentral:rRNA from 1 species
AGUGAACGCUGGCGGUAGGCCUAACACAUGCAAGUCGAACGGCAGCACAGGAGAGCUUGCUCUCUGGGUGGCGAGUGGCGGACGGGUGAGGAAUACAUCGGAAUCUACCUUUUCGUGGGGGAUAACGUAGGGAAACUUACGCUAAUACCGCAUACGACCUACGGGUGAAAGUGGGGGACCGCAAGGCCUCACGCGAUUAGAUGAGCCGAUGUCCGAUUAGCUAGUUGGCGGGGUAAUGGCCCACCAAGGCGACGAUCGGUAGCUGGUCUGAGAGGAUGAUCAGCCACACUGGAACUGAGACACGGUCCAGACUCCUACGGGAGGCGGCAGUGGGGAAUAUUGGACAAUGGGCGCAAGCCUGAUCCAGCCAUACCGCGUGGGUGAAGAAGGCCUUCGGGUUGUAAAGCCCUUUUGUUGGGAAAGAAAGCCUGUCGAUUAAUACUCGGUGGGGAUGACGGUACCCAAAGAAUAAGCACCGGCUAACUUCGUGCCAGCCGCCGCGGUAAUAC